rnacentral:rRNA from 1 species
UACGUAGGGUGCAAGCGUUGUCCGGAAUUAUUGGGCGUAAAGAGCUCGUAGGCGGUUUGUCGCGUCUGCUGUGAAAUCUGGGGGCUCAACCCCCAGCCUGCAGUGGGUACGGGCAGACUAGAGUGCGGUAGGGGAGAUUGGAAUUCCUGGUGUAGCGGUGGAAUGCGCAGAUAUCAGGAGGAACACCGAUGGCGAAGGCAGAGCUCUGGGCCGUAACUGACGCUGAGGAGCGAAAGCAUGGGGAGCGAACAGG